rnacentral:misc_RNA from 1 species
GAUGAAGAACGAAGCGAAAUGCGAUACUUGGUGUGAAUUGCAGAAUCCCGUGAACCAUCGAGUCUUUGAACGCAAGUUGCGCCCGAAGCCAUUAGGCCGAGGGCACGCCUGCCUGGGCGUCACACGUCGUUGCCCCCCCAUCUACUCCUUCGGGAUUGCGGGGGGCGGAUGAUGGCCUCCCGUGCGCCUCGUCGCGCGGUUGGCAUAAAUGCCAAGUCCUCGGCGACACACGCCACGACAAUCGGUGGUUGCGAAACCUCGGUUGCCCGUCGUGUGCGGUCGUCGCGCAUCGAGGGCUCGAAAAAAUUGCCGGGCUCCGGCUCGGCUUUCAACGCGACCCCAGGUCAGGGGGGGUUACCCGCUGAAUUUAAGCAUAUCAAUAAGCGGAGGA